UACGGGAGGCAGCAGUGGGGAAUAUUGCACAAUGGGCGAAAGCCUGAUGCAGCUAUGCCGCGUGUAUGAAGAAGGCCUUAGGGUUGUAAAGUACUUUCAUCGGGGAGGAAAAACAAAACUAAUAAUUUUAUUUCUUGACGUUACCCGAAAAAGAAGCACCGGCUAACUCCGUGCCAGCAGCCGCGGUAAUACGGAGGGUGCUAGCGUUAAUCAGAAUUACUGGGCGUAAAGAGCACGUAGGUUGGUUUUUUAAGUCAGAUGUGAAAUCCCUGGGCUUAACCUAGGAACUGCAUUUUGAAACUGAAAUACUAGAGUAUCGUAGAGGGAGGUAGAAUUCUAGGUGUAGCGGUGAAAUGCGUAGAUAUCUGGAGGAAUACCUGUGGCGAAAGCGGCCUCCUAAACGAAUACUGACACUGAGGUGCGAAAGCGUGGGGAGCAAACAGGGAUUAGAUACC
rnacentral:rRNA from 1 species